UCAGACGAUGCGUCAUGCAUAUCAAUAAGCGGAGGAAAAGAAACUAACAAGGAUUCCCCUAGUAACGGCGAGUGAAGCGGGAAGAGCUCAAAUUUGAAAUCUUAAAGGGUUUCCCUUUACGAAUUGUAGUUUAAAGAAGUGUUUUCUGUUGAGGUUUUGGUAAAAGUUCUUUGGAAUAGGACAUCAUAGAGGGUGAGAAUCCCGUAUUUGACCUUUACUUUCAACUUUGUGAUACACUUUCAAAGAGUCGGAUUGUUUGGGAAUGCAGUCCAAAAUGGGUGGUAAAUUUCAUCUAAAGCUAAAUAUUGGCGAGAGACCGAUAGCGAACAAGUACCGUGAGGGAAAGAUGAAAAGAACUUUGAAAAGAGAGUUAAACAGUACGUGAAAUUGUCAAAAGGGAAGCGUUUGACACCAGUGUUGUUUUUCUGAAAAUCAAUUAAAGAACUGUUUAUGCUAAGUUGUUUAGACUUUAUCAGCUAAUCUGUUUAGUUUUGAGCUUUUCUUUAAUGCACUUUUCAGUUAACAAGUCAACAUCAAUUUCUUUUGCUGUAAAAAAGCUUGAGGAAGGUGGCUUGAGAUUCGUCUUAAGUGUUUAUAGCCUCUUGCCUAUGCAGUCGGAGAGAUUGAGGUCUGCAGCGUAGAUCCUUCGGGGCUAAAUGCAUUUGUGCUAAGUUAUAGCAUUUUAUAGACAACUUGUUGACUAUGAUUUGUCUUGUAGCUUACUCGCUUAUGUUAUUUUACCUACGCUUAGGAUGUUGAAUCUGUGCGAGACUAC
rnacentral:rRNA from 1 species